rnacentral:tRNA from 1 species
GGAAGGAUGGUCCAGUGGCUAGGGCAUUAGCCUAGGACCUAGAAGAUCUAGGUUCAAUUCCUGGUUCCUCCA